rnacentral:lncRNA from 1 species
GAUCACUUGGCCAUUUCACAAAAGAGGCCAUUCGACCGAUUUGAAUACACUGCCGAUUUCAAAUCCCUUCCACAACUCCGAUUUCGGUGAGGGAAAUAGGGACUUUGAUGGCCGGUUCGCGAAGGUAUGCCCCUAACUUCCCUCUCAGUUGACUCGUGGGCUUCACCGACGCUAAACGCGCCUCCACCCCGUCGCGGUUCUAACCAGAUCCACAAGGAUCCGUUGACCAAAUUGUCACCAAAAAAGGAAAAUAAACCCUCUUUCUUUGGAUUCGUCGAAUGGAUUCAAAAUAAAGUAAAAAAAGAACAAGAACAAAAAAAUAAUUUGCGAAUUGCCUUGAAAUCUUUGCUUUUUCUAUUUGAUUGUUUCGUAUGCGUAGUAUAUCUAAAAAAAUACAUGGCUUAUUACAUGGCUUUUAUAGCCGAAAACAGAGAAAAACGAAAAAAGAAAAUACAAAUUUCUUGUUUUUUCUCUCUGCUCUGUUGUCCUUUUUGCGUUUGUGCGCAGGUAUGGAGCUCGGUGGUCGUACGGUGCUGCUCUAGCGGUGAGGACGAAGGGUAUAGAGCCAGGCUGUGAGCGCACGGAGACCGUACAUGGGAGUGUUGGCUCCGGCGCACCUAGGAAACCUAGGGUUUCCGAAAGUGUUUUGAUUUUGGGCCAUUUGGGCUUUGUAUUUCUGGACUAGGUUUAAUAUUAGUUGUUGGGCCAUUGAAAUUUGGCAGAUUUGGGCUGAUGUAAUAAAGGGACUUGGACUAUUAAAAUUUGGUUUAGUUUAGUUGUUUUUUAAUUGGGCUGGUUAAUAGUUUGGGCCUGGGCAAAUUUGGGUCCUUACAACAUUGUUGCAAAGUUUAAAAGGUCCUCCCCUCGUCAUGAUGAGCUGCAAAAGUUUUGUCUUUCAGAAUGAAGCAUGUAUUUCCAAACACAUGGAAAUACUUCAUAGUAAACCUCUUUUCCUUCCACAACUCAUAUGAAGUCACAUAAGUUUUUGGUCUAAUCAUCAAUCUAUUGAUCAUAUGAGUAGUAGUGUUCAUUGUCUCAGCUCAAAAUCGAUGUGAGAUGCUCUUUCUGUUGAGCUAUUUCUUGCAUAGUCUUGUUCUUAAUCUCCACUACAUUAUGUUGGCGAGGUGUCUUUGAUGCAAAAAAUUCAUGUCUUAUCCCAUCUUUAUCACAUAAUUUGACAAAAUUCUUAUUUUGAAUCUCACGCCUAUGAUCAUUUCGCAUCUUCCUUCCAUGCCAAUGGUCUUUCCUUUUUCAUUCAUCAAUCUCUUACACAAUCUUUUAAACUCAUCAAAUGCAUCUGAUUUUUCUCUAAGAAACGUUACCCAUGUAUCCUUGGAGUAGUCAUAAACACAAACAAGGACAUACUCUUUCUUCCAAGAUUUUCUGUUUGCAUAGGGCCAAAUAGAAAAAUGUGCAAGAGCUUGAGUGGUGCUCUAGUUUGAAUAUUAGCCAAGAUAGCAUCGGAGAGGAACUCAACUAUGCAAGUGUCUGAAAAGAGCCCAGAGGAGCUAGCAGCUGUUGUUGAGAUUGCUCGAGUAACAAAUUAUUCAUUUAUGUUAGAAUAAUAUAGUUUGGUUGUGUUUUAUUCACCAAAAGAAAUCUAAUAAUGUACAAUAG